rnacentral:misc_RNA from 1 species
GAAAUGCGAUAAGUAGUGUGAAUUGCAGAAUUCAGUGAAUCGUCGAAUCUUUGAACGCACAUUGCGCCCCUCGGUAUUCCGUGGGGCAUGCCUGUUCGAGCGUCAUCUACACCCUCAAGCUCUGCUUGGUGUUGGGCGUCUGUCCCGCCUCCUUCGCGCGCGGACUCGCCCCAAAUCCAUUGGCGGCGGCCCUUGCCUCCCUCUCGCGCAGCACAUUGCGCUUCUCGAGGCGCGGCGGACCGCGUCCAGCAAGCAACCGUCACACCGUCUUUGACCUCGGAUCAGGUAGGGAUACCCGCUGAACUUAAGC